CUGAGAGCAGUCCAGGGGGAAUAAAACAAGUAUGUAGGAUAUUAUACUUCAGACUUUCAACCAGAAGUACCUUCUUUUGAACCCAAGAGGCUCACUCCGAUUAAGAGUCUGUCUACAUUUUGCCAGACCCUGCACUGGGUUUUGCUGGGUCUUCAGCAUACCAGUUAUGCUGGGAAGCACAGCAAGCUGUUCUCGGCAAAGAAGAACUUGCCACAAAUUAUUUUACUGGUAGCCGAAAGGCAAGCCUGGGGAGACUCUGAGAGGUGAGGUAUUUGGUGAGACUGGAAUGAGACCACACCCUAUCCAUGUGAAUAGCUGGCCAAUCUGUUGAUGACUGUGUUCUUGGAGGUCAGGUUCAUGCAUGAUUUAUCUCAAUUUCCCUUAAAGCACUUGGAAUACAGUUUUGCAUAGAAGAGGAAGAAGACUUUAAAGAAGAGGAAGAGGAUGAAGAGGAAUAUUUUGAAUAGGAAGAACUGGAGGAAGAAGAGUUUGAGAAAUAAUUUGAGGAAGAAGAAGGUGCAGCUUGAGCCAGAACCAGAACCCAGGCUACUGUUGGAAGUGGAAAAGCCAGGGGCAGAGGAGGUGCAUGAGGCUGACACAGCUCCCACCCUGGCCCCUGAAGUGCUCCCCUCCCAGGGAGAGGUGGAGAGGGACAGGGCAGCCCUGCAGCAAGGCCCACUCCCCAGGAGCUUGUUGAAGAAGAGCCCUCUGCUUCCCCAAACCUGCUGGAAGAGGGGACUGAGGAUGGGGUGACAAAGGACAGCCCCCACCAGAGACAUCUGCAGAAGAAGAGACGGAGACAGAGACAGAGGCCAAAACUCUCCAGGAAAAGGAGGAGGAUGACACCGCUGCCAUGCUGGCCCCCUUCAUUGAUCGUCCCCCUGAUGAUGAGAAGCCACUGCCUGCCACAGAGCCUGACUCCUAGCCAUCUUCUGCACCCCUUCUCAUUUCCAAUACUUAUGUCCUUAGGAAAAAAAUACUUAAAGUCUAAGUAUUAUACUUGAUUGUGAUCUGUGGGAAGUCAAAAUUUUACCCUAUUCAUUUUUACAAGCAUUUCAGUUGAUCAUGCUUGGCGCAGGGAAGACACACAAGAAAACAUCAUUUCCAAAGAAUUAACUGAAUUCUUAAUUAUUAAACUAAGUAGAUAAUUAAUGGUAAAAGUGAGAGUUAUUAUCUUUAAAACAAUGAACUCAAAAGUGAAUUGUUUCCCCAAACUUGCUUAAUAUGUAUAAAUCACUAAUAACUCAGAACUGGCUUUAAGAGAGAAGAGACUAGCCACCUUUGCCCCUCAUUAAAACCAUUUGUACCCUUAAAAUAUUUCUAAAUUCCACAUUUUCUUUUGCUGUAAUUACAUGACAUUUCUCUAUAAACAGUUCAAAAACAAAAUUGCACUUGUUUAUUCACUUUGGUAUCUAAAUGCAAUUUUCUGACUGGGUCAAUCUCACACUAAAACUGGACAACACCUUGUAGCCUACCAGAAAGAGACAGAAAGUAAUGAAGCUACACACCUCCA